AGGCUGUCAAAGGCUUCGGCUCAAAGAGGGGUUCGCGUCCUAUCAGGUAGUUGGUGGGGUAAUGGCCUACCAAGCCAAUGACGGGUAGCUGGUCUUAGAGGACGAUCAGCCACAGCGGGACUGAGACACGGCCCGCACCCCUACGGGGGGCAGCAGUGGGGAAUCGUGGGCAAUGGGCGCAAGCCUGACCCCGCAAUGCCGCGUGAGGGAAGAAGCCCUUCGGGGUGUAAACCUCUGUCAGAUGGGAAGAUGGGACUAGGGGCUAAUACCUCCUAGUCUUGACGGUACCAUCAGAGGAAGGGACGGCUAACUACGUGCCAGCAGCCGCGGUAAUACGUAGGUCCCGAGCGUUGCGCGAUGUUACUGGGCGUAAAGCGUCCGUAGCCGGUUUCGUAAGCGGAUUGUCAAAGCCCGAAGCUCAACUUCGGCAAGGCAUUCCGAACUGCGUUACUUGAGUCCUGUUCAGGUAGGCGGAGUUCCCGGUGUAGCGGUGAAGUGCGUAGAUAUCGGGAGGAACACCAGUGGCGAAGGCGGCCUACUGGGACGGUACUGACGGUCAUGGACGAAAGCUGGGGGAGCAAACCGGAUUAGAUACCCGGGUAGUCCCAGCCGUAAACGAUGGAUGUUAGGUGUAGUGAUAACUUCGCUGCACCCCAGCUAACGCGUUAAACAUCCCGCCUGGGGAGUACGGGCGCAAGCCUGAAACUCAAAGGAAUUGGCAGGGGCCCGCACAACCGGUGGAGCGUCUGGUUUAAUUCGAUGCUAACCGAAAAACCUUACCAGGGUUUGAAAUGGUAGGAAAGGCUGUCGAAAGAUAGCUGUGUCUCCCUUUUGGGAGAAAUCCUACCACAGGUGGUGCAUGGCCGUCGUCAGCUCGUGUUGUGAGAUGUUGGGUUAGUCCCGCAACGAGCGCAACCCUUGUCCUUAUUUGCUUCCUCGUAUGAGGUGCUCUAUAAGGAGACUGCCGGCGACAAGCCGGAGGAAGGAGGGGACGACGUCAGGUCAGUAUGCCCUUUAUGCCCUGGGCUACACAGGC
rnacentral:rRNA from 1 species